AUUAUUUUGGCAGAUUAGUGCGAUGGAUUUAGAAUCUUUAUAUGUAAAAUUUUACAAAUAAUA
rnacentral:tRNA from 1 species